GUCUAAUUAAACUGUGUUUUUUUUCCGUUACUAAAUUUUGCUCUAUUUUCUGGUUCUUCUCGAGGCAAAAUUUUGGCAAGCAAAUUUUUCUCGACAAUGUUAACGCUGGAUUCCAAAAGUGGAAGAUUUUCUUGCUCCGCGCCAUCUUGCUUGUCUUCUCCUUACAUUGAAUUUUAUAGUUCAAGAAUGUUUUUUCGGAUGCCAAUUCUGUGCUGUGGCCAGGGAAUAUCUUUGUAUGCAUACCCUCAAUAAUUGAGUGAAUAUACUCACUCUUAAUCC
rnacentral:lncRNA from 1 species